GGUGGGGCUGGGUGAGGUUCUCUCCUACAGAAGUUCUCCCAGGAUGAGCCCAGCAGGCAGAGCUCCCGGAUCUUGGGUCUCAACUGGUGCAGGUCCCAGGGUGAACUUGGUGCAGAGAUACGGAGGAAGCAAAGAAGAAAACAGCUAUGCACAGCGAUGCAGCUUGUCAAGGCUGGGAAGGAACAGCAGUGUUGCGGCAGGAAAACUGGCCUCUGUACUUCAUCCGGGGCUCUCCACAGGCACCGGCCUACAUGGGAAGCUGGAAAGGAGAUCAGUGCCGUUGCUCAGGGACUGGAAGCAGCAAGUGGUGCCCGAACAGGGACCAGACCAGACCUGAUUUGAUCAGAAACAAAACAGGAGAAGAAGCCCCAACAUGAGUUCUACAUGGUCAUGCCUUUUUCCCCACUGGUGAGUUAUGGGCCAUUAUCACAGGGUAUGGGUGAUCUAGAGAGCACAAAUGAGUUUGUGCACAAAUAAGUUUGUUAUUGAGAAGGCUCCUAAAGGCGGGAGGAGCAAAAGUCAGCGAGGGCCAACUUACGGAGCUUUUAAAGGUAAUUAAAGAACAUUGCUCCUGGUUUCC
rnacentral:lncRNA from 1 species